GCCUCCCUGAGACACGGAGCGGGCGGCGGCGCCGCGGCGGCUGACAGGAACCCGGAUGUUGGGAGGGCGGGGGGCGGAGCCCCAUCCGCCAGCGCUUCCCCCUCCGCCGCCCCUUGAGAGGGCGCCGCGCCUGAGCUGGGGUACCUGCUGCGCGGGUCCGCCCUUAUCGGCUGGCUGGGGGAGCACAGCGAGAGGGAGCGAGUACUUUCCUUUGGGCUGUCUGCAGUGCGGGUCCCAGCCCCGCGGGAAGGGCCGUCCCGUCCCGUCCCGGGGGAGCGGCCGCUGUCUGCCUUUGCGCCCGUUGCCGCGGUGAGGUGGCGUUGCGGCAGAGCGCCCGCUGUUCCCUAGGCAGCCGCAGCCCUGGAGGAGGCACCUCGCAUCCAGGAAACAGAUGGCGUACCUGCCUUGCUGAGACUAAAGAUGCUUUCUGUGAUCUGCUCAGUUGGCAAGAUCUACUAUACCUCAGGCAGAACGCACAUUACACAGAAACGGGGGAAAAAAUAUUGUGGAACUACAAGCCUCAAACACGGCAAAAUGAUGCUGGAAGAAAUGCCAAAGAUUGCUGUAAGUGCCCCUCGGGUAAACAGACCAUAAAAUUGUAGCAUGAUGGCCAAAGCAAACUCUUCAGGCGGUCCUCUUGAUGUCAUAAUGUAGAAGAGGGGAGGCGCUGGAUACCAGGGCUGCCACAACUGAAACUGAAUGACCUUUGACAAGAUUGUUAAAGAAAAGCUACAGUAGGGAAUAGUAAAUUCACGGUGGUGCCCAUCCUGACGUGGCAUGCUCCGGAUCGAGCAGACUGCUGCUUCGAUACUGCUGAUAAACACUGUGCCAAGCCCCACAGAGGGGGAGACAGACAUUCUCAUCAGCUCCAUGUUAGGCACCUUUUGCUCAGGGUGGGUUUUUUGGUGACUUUCUUGUUUUCAUAAAGACAGAGAGAAUACGCAGUUACAGUAGUAGUACAGCGCUUUUAUAUGUAUAUAGGUUCUAUUGCUUACCAAAACACAGGAGUUUUUACCUAUACCUAAUAUAUAGUGUAAUAAAUAAUUACACUAGUAAAUACAUACAUAUUGAGAAAACUUGCAACUUUAUGGGCAGUUACUAAUACAGACAGAGGCUAAUGGUCUGGGCCAGCAGAUAUUUAUUACAAAAGAUACAAGUUCAGAGACUUGGAACAAGAUACUUCUGAAUAAGGAUUGCAGGAUUAUCUCAUAUGUGUGUGUGUAAAAGAAAUGCUGAAGAUCAGAGUUUUGUGAAGAGGAAUUGGAGAAGU